AGAAACUCUCGUCUCGUCCUUAAAUGGUGAGUCAUGGUUUAUUCCAGAGCGCCUGUGAACCAGCCAGACACAGAAUAAUCGGCUCCAUUUCAAAGGGCCGUGAGCUGCAGCGUCUUCCUGCAGACGGAGAAGGCGUUCAUUCCACAUGAUGCCAGCGGAAACACUGCAGUGAAAAGCGCUGAUGGCGGCCAAACAGCUACGCAAACCACCAGAGGAGCCAAACCUCGGCUACGGCGUGAAGGAGAACCGUCGACAAACCAAUGCGAGAAAGAUACGUUAAAAGUAAAAGUACUGUACUUGUAUUGUAAAUCGACUGUACUUGUAUUGUAAAUCGACUGUACUUGUUUAGCGCUUUUCUAGUCUUCUGACCACUCAAAGCGCUUUAACACUACAUGACAUCAUUCACCCAUUCACACCCAUUUAUACCCUGAUGACAGGAGAACCACACACAGUGACACCUGCCCAUCAGUAACUACCAUCCACACACUGUAGUCGCAGCUACAGGAGCAUGUUGGGUUAAGCGUCUUGCCCAAGGACACAUCGACAUGCGGGUUAGCCGGGCCUGGGAUGGAACCGACAACCCUCUGAUCGGAGGACGACCGUGCUCCCCACUGCACAGUCGCCCACGGCCAGGUGAAUUGUGUCGUUGUUUGUAGAUUGUCGUUGUUCUUCUCCGUGUGUGCCAAUCCCACAUGUCUCUUUAAUCGGGUCCAGCGUACAUCCAGGACAUGGUCAAACCCGACAUCCCAACCCGCACUCUCCGCUCUGCAUCUGCAACACUGCUCG
ensembl:lncRNA